UUCCCUGAGUGACCAGAGCAGGGGCUGCACUAGAGUAAUCAGGAACCUGCUAGAAACAAUUAAGGCAGACAGGCUGAUUAGAUCACCUGCAGCCAAUCAAGGCAGGCUAAUCAGGGCACCUGGGUUUAAAAAGGAGCUCACUCCAGUCAGGGAGGGAGGAGCUAGAGGAGAGGAAGUGCGUGUGAGGAGCUGGGAGCAAGAGGCACAAGGAGCUGAGAGUGAGAGGCUGUGCUGCUGGAGGACUAAGGAGUACAAGUGUUAUCAGACACCAGGAGGAAGGUCCUGUGGUGAGGAUAAAGAAGGUGUUUGGAGGAGGCCAUGGGGAAGUAGCCCAGGGAGUUGUAACUGUCAUGCAGCUGUUACAAGAGGCACUAUAGACAGCUGCAAUCCACAGGGCCCUGGGCUGGAACCCGGAGUAGAGAGCGAGCCCGGGUUCCCCCCAAACCUCCCAACUCCUGAUCAGACACAGGAGGAGUUGAUCCAGACUGUGGGGAAGAUCACUGA